CCUACGGGAGGCAGCAGUGGGGAAUUGUUCACAAUGGGCGCAAGCCUGAUGACGCAACGCCGCGUGGGGGAUGAAGGCCUUCGGGUCGUAAACCCCUGUCGAAUGGGACGAAAAGCCCGCGAUUUAACAAAACGCGGGACUGACGGUACCGUUAAAGGAAGCCACGGCUAACUCUGUGCCAGCAGCCGCGGUAAUACAGAGGUGGCAAGCGUUGUUCGGAAUUACUGGGCGUAAAGGGCGCGUAGGUGGUUUGUUAAGUCUGAUGUGAAAGCCCUGGGCUCAGCCUGGGAAUGGCAUUGGAUACUGGCGAGCUAGAGUGCGGUAGAGGGUAGUGGAAUUCCCGGUGUAGCAGUGAAAUGCGUAGAGAUCGGGAGGAACAUCUGUGGCGAAGGCGACUACCUGGACCAGCACUGACACUGAGGCACGAAAGCGUGGGGAGCAAACAGGAUUAGAUACCCUGGUAGUCCACGCCCUAAACGAUGCGAACUGGAUGUUGGGAGCAAUUAGGCUCUCAGUAUCGAAGCUAACGCGUUAAGUUCGCCGCCUGGGGAGUACGGUCGCAAGACUGAAACUCAAAGGAAUUGACGG
rnacentral:rRNA from 1 species